UACAGAGGGGGCAAGCGUUGUCCGGAUUUACUGGGCGUACAGCGCGCGCAGGCGGACCUGGACGUGCCGUGUGACAAACCAUCGCUCACCGAUGGAGGGCCACGGUACACGACAGGUCUAGAGGCAGGGAGAGGGAUGUGGAAUGCCCGGUGGAGCGGUGAAAUGCGUAGAGAUCGGGCGGAACACCAGCGGCGAAGGCGGCUUUCUGGCCUGUUCUUGACGCUGAGGCGGCGAAAAGCUAGGGGAGCAAACGGG
rnacentral:rRNA from 1 species